GUAUCAUUCAGAAAGGGAAUCCUUCGUGUUUUCCAUUCAAAAUGUAUAUUCAAAUUUUAGAUCAUUUCUAGUGCAAGUGACAAAAAGGUUGAUGAUUUGGUAUCGAUGAUUUCAAAUUCGAAGUCUAAUUACUUCAUAUUUUUAACUAAAUUCAUUUCUAAAAUAAAUAAGCGAAGUGAAAAACAUUCCUACCUUUCUCUCUCUCAAAAAAAAGAAAAGAAAAGAAAUAUAUUCACA
rnacentral:lncRNA from 1 species